UCCUAAAGCAUCAUCAGGACUGCACAUCCCU
rnacentral:piRNA from 1 species